rnacentral:rRNA from 1 species
CCUACGGGAGGCUGCAGUGGGGAAUAUUGGUCAAUGGCCGUAAGGCUGAACCAGCCAAGUAGCGUGAGGGAUGAAGGUUCUAGGGAUCGUAAACCUCUUUUAUAAGGGAAUACAGUGCGGGACGUGUCCCGUUUUGUAUGUACCUUAUGAAUAAGGAUCGGCUAACGCCGUGCCAGCAGCCGCGGUAAUACGGAGGAUCCGAGCGUUAUCCGGAUUUAUUGGGUUUAAAGGGUGCGUAGGCGGCCUUUUAAGUCAGCGGUGAAAGUCUGUGGCUCAACCAUAGAAUUGCCGUUGAAACUGGUAGGCUUGAGUAUGUUUGAGGAAGGCGGAAUGCGUGGUGUAGCGGUGAAGUGCUUAGAUAUCACGCAGAACCCCGAUGGCGAAGGCAGCCUGCCAAGCCAUGACUGACGCUGAUGCACGAAAGCGUGGGGAUCAAACAGGAUUAGAUACCCGGGUAGUC